rnacentral:rRNA from 1 species
GCUUGAGAAAGGAAUUUCAGUUCAGCCUAAAGUCAUUUUUCUACACAUAAAUUACCAAUUUUCUUUAGAGUAAUUCAAUUAGGGAACAGCCUUAUUGAACUAGGACACAACCUUGAUCUAUGGGUAACCACAUUAAAACAUUUAAGUAGGCUUAAAAGCAGCCACCUUCAUUAAAGCGUCAAAGCUAAUCCAAAUUUUUCUAAUACCUCACCCAUCCCCGAUCCCUACAAUGAUAUCAAGCAUCUCUAUAAAAUAUAGAACUUCUAAUGUUAAAACUAGUACCAAGAAGCUAGCCCUUCUCUAUAAUGUAAAUGUAAGCCAGCUUGAACCCCAUCACUGGCGUUUAGCAGUCCAAGCUCGAGUAAUACCCACCCACCCGAAAACCCUACUCAUCCCCCUGUUAACCUAACACCAGAACAUUACAAGAAAGAUUAAAAGAAAAAGAAGGAACUCGGCAAAUAUUUUUCCCGCCUGUUUACCAAAAACAUCGCCUCUUGAAACCCAUAAGAGGUCCAGCCUGCCCAGUGACUUAGUUU